rnacentral:rRNA from 1 species
CGCCUGGGGAGUACGGGUGAGGUAACGGCUCACCAAGGCAUCGACGGGUAGCUGGUCUGAGAGGAUGAUCAGCCACACUGGGACUGAGACACGGCCCAGACUCCUACGGGAGGCAGCAGUAGGGAAUCUUGCGCAAUGGGCGAAAGCCUGACGCAGCAACGCCGCGUGGGGGAUGAAUGCCUUCGGGUUGUAAACCCCUUUCAGCAGGGACGAAAAUGACGGUACCUGCAGAAGAAGCUCCGGCCAACUACGUGCCAGCAGCCGCGGUAAUACGUAGGGAGCGAGCGUUGUCCGGAAUUAUUGGGCGUAAAGAGCUCGUAGGCGGUUCAGUAAGUCGGGUGUGAAAACUCAAGGCUCAACCUUGAGACGCCACUCGAUACUGCUGUGACUUGAGUCCGGUAGAGGAGUGUGGAAUUCCUGGUGUAGCGGUGAAAUGCGCAGAUAUCAGGAGGAACACCAGCGGCGAAGGCGCCGCUCUGGGCCGGUACUGACGCUGAGGAGCGAAAGCAUGGGGAGCAAACAGGAUUAGAUACCCUGGUAGUCCAUGCCGUAAACGUUGGGCACUAGGUAUGGGAUCAUAUCAACGGAUUCCGUGCCGUAGCUAACGCAUUAAGUGCCCCGCCUGGGGAGUACGG